rnacentral:RNase_P_RNA from 1 species
GCUACAAGCCAGGCUAUCGUCCCGAUGAAAAUCGGGGAGGAAAGUCCGGACAGCACAGAGCAAAUGUACCGGUGAAGAGCCGGGUCCCGGUUGCAAAAUACCGGGAACAGAUAGUGCCACAGAAAAUAACUGUCCCGUCAAAAGCGGGAUGAGGGUGAAAACGUGGGGUAAGAGCCCACGGCGGUUGCUAGUAAUAGUAAUGGCGGGUAAACCUUGCAUGCUGAAAUGCCACAUAUAGUAUCGAUUGAGGGCGGCUCGUCCGAGAUCCGCCGAAAGGCGGACACGGUACAGGGUAGGCAGAUUGAUCCUGAUAGGUAACUACCGGGACAGAUAAAUGAUAGCCCACGACAGAAUCCGGCUUACCGGCUUGUAGCUUUU